GACGAACGCUGGCGGCGUGCUUAACACAUGCAAGUCGAACGGUGACGAGGAGCUUGCUCCUCUGAUCAGUGGCGAACGGGUGAGUAACACGUGAGCAACCUGCCCCAGACUCUGGGAUAACAGUUGGAAACAGCUGCUAAUACCGGAUACGAGACGGAGAGGCAUCUCUACCGUCUGGAAAGUUUUUCGGUCUGGGAUGGACUCGCGGCCUAUCAGCUAGUUGGUGAGGUAAUGGCUCACCAAGGCGACGACGGGUAGCCGGCCUGAGAGGGCGACCGGCCACACUGGGACUGAGACACGGCCCAGACUCCUACGGGAGGCAGCAGUGGGGAAUAUUGCACAAUGGGCGAAAGCCUGAUGCAGCGACGCCGCGUGAGGGAUGAAGGCCUUCGGGUUGUAAACCGUCUUUCUAGCAGGGAAGAAGCGAAAGUAGACGGUACCUGCAGAAGAAGACACCGGCUAACUACGUAGCCAGCAGCCGCGGUAA
rnacentral:rRNA from 1 species